AAUGACCUUGGACGCCUCCCUGACCAACAACCCCAUACACGCUCUUGACAGUGCUGAGGUGGUUGAAACCAGCCAGAACAGCACUUCACCAAUCUGGGCUUUAUGGGAGAGUGGCCAGACAGAAACCACUCCAGAGGAAAAGGGCAUGUGAACGACAGCAUAAGGCAAAAGAUUGGUCUAAUGAGACGAACUCUGGCCUGAAUUGAAAGCGCGGUCUGGAGAAACCCUAGCCCUUCAUUAAGACAAAGUUACACAACAUUGGGUUAGUGUUCCCACACGGUCAUAUCUCGAUGUUACAGCGCUUGUUUACGGAAAACACGAGGUGACCACCUGUGCUAAUUAGCUGUCUAGCAUGCUCCGAACACCUGUGUAAGUGUAGCUUCGUUGGAGGCACCCAUAGCUGUAUGGAACUGUGAAAAAACUGCUACAUUAUUUAAUGAAUCGUUUUUAUUUGAAAGAUUCUUUCUCGCUGAUGAGUGAUAAGGGCAAGGGCGCAACUUCGGUUUUUGUAGUUUUUGGGGGGGCAUCUAAAGCUAAUGUCCUGCAUUUUUACCCAAUCUAAUAUGACCCUUCGAGCCGUGUCUAUUUAGAACAACAAAAAGCAAAACAUGCCCAGUCAUCAAGAAAGAUGAAUGUGGUACCUUCAGGCGUUUGGAAAUUGCUCCCAAGGAUGAACCAGACUUGUGGAGGUCUAAAAUUUUGUUCUGAGGGCUUGGCUGAUUUCUUUUGAUUUUCCCAUGAUGUCAAGUAAAGAGGCACUGAGCACACAGAAAAACUAUUUGCAGUAGAAUGGCCUUACUGAAGAGCUCAGUGACUUUCAACAUGGCACCGUCAUAGGAUGCCACUUUUCCAACAAGUCAGUUCAUCGAAUUUCUGCCCUGCUCGAGCUGCCCCUGUCAACUGUAUUCACCCUGAAAGAGAUGAUGCCGGGCCUCCCGAGUGGCGCAGCGGUCUAAGGCACUGCAGUGCUAGAGGUGUCACUACAGAUCCAGGUUCGAGGUCAGGCUGUGUCGCAGCCGCCUGCGACCCAUGAGCCGACGCAUUUGCCCUGGCGCCGUCCGGGUUAGGGGAGAGUUUGGCUGGCCGGGAUGUCCUUGUCCAUUGCUCUCUAUCGACUCCUGUGGCGGGGCGGGCACAGUGCACGCUGACACGGUUGCCAAUUGGACAGUGUUUGCUCCAACACAUUGGUGCGGCUGGCUUCCAGGUUAAGCAAGCAAUGUGUCAAGAAGCAGGCGCUGCUUCUUUGGUCGUGUUUCGGAGGAUGCAUAGCUUUCGACCAUGGCCUCUCCCGAGUCCGUACGGGAGUUGCAACAAUGGGGCAAGACUAACUACAAAUUGUAGAAAAGGGGGUAAAAAGUACAAAAAAAAAAUAUUUCCUCAAGAGUGGAGAAGUCAUCAAUAACCUCUUCCUGAUAGACAAGGGUCUGUCCCAUUGAUUGUCUGGUCAACCUUAACAGCCAGUCUAAGAAUCUAGGAUUGGGCAGUGGCAACCUGUGCUACGCUAUGGUGGAAAAACUAAAAAGGUGGGCCACGGCUGUGCCACUGCCCUGGAACUAUUCUGUGACAAGGACCAGAGCGUCAAAUUGUCCUGGACAGCGACCUCGUCAACAUAGGCCAUGAGCGUGCACGUCCAUCCUAUUACCAAUGCUUCCAUUAUGGGACUAAAGCUAGAGGAUCUUACAUUUUUAAAGGACACAGGACAUGAACCAGUUCUUCAGAGCUUUAACUAGUAAAUACCUUGAAAUUAACACACUAUCCUGGCAGACUGUGUUUUGUCUUGGUACAAGGAUUUUUUUUCGAAGUUAUUUACCUUUGUGCCUUUCAACCUUAGGUGAAAAUUGUAAUAAUGCCCAUUUCUCUAACUUUUGGGACAGAAUAAGGUCUGGAGAGUCCUUAUUUUCUAUGGGCAAGAGAGCAGUCUUGAUUGUUGGUUAUAUGUGGAUGGUUGAUAGACAAUGUAGUAGUGAUUAUGGUGGUUGCAUCCUCGUAUCUCCCUCCGCAAGAUCUAGUCAUUUACACCUUUGACACAAUUACUGCAGACACGGAACAUUGAUUAUCCACUCAUAUCCCCCCCAAAAAACCUGGUUAUACUCUGGUGUAUACCUCCUUAUCCCGCAGACUACACCAUUGAGUGGCCAAAGUAUCCGUUUUAUGUAGGAUAAUGGUUAACUCAAGCUUUGUCGAUCCAGUAAAUGGACAUCUGCACAACCCCCGUUCAUCACUUGUGUUCCAUAAAGCUUUGACUGGGAUAUUUCUAUUCGUUAUAUAAAAGCAAUAUCAGAUUAAUUUAAAGAUGAUUUGCAUUCGUCUGUCCAUAGAAAUCAUGACAUUACUUUGGUCCAAUAUCCCAACAACUUUAGCUGGUGAGAUUUCCUGAUUCCAUAAACGCAGACAAAAAUAAAUCAUUCAUCAGGGGA